ACUGUGCACGGUGGCGCAUGCCUGUAAUCCCAGUGGCUUGGAGGCUGAGGCAGGAGGAUUGUGAGUUCAAAGUCAGCCUUAGCAACCUCAAGAUGCUAAGCAACUCAGUGAGAUCCUGUUUCUA
rnacentral:sRNA from 1 species